CUCUCACUUUGCUUUUCCUCUCUUUUUCGCUCACCAUCUUAUCAAACCCACUUCUUCCUAUAGAUCUUAAUUUCAAUACAUGGUAAAUCGAGUUUCCAUUUUGAUUUUGGUUAUUCUCUUUUUUUUUCCUCGGCUGUUUUUCUCUUCUUCUGAUUUGCCUCUGUAUAACUUAAACAAAUCUAAGGUUUUAAUUAGUUGUGAAGAAGAAGAAGAAUAUGGGUCACGCUAAUGUCUGGAAUUCUCAUCGUAGUUGACCUUAGAUUUGACAGUUAAUGAAGUUAAUGAGCCAAGGGUUUUGAGGUGAUAUUAUUCAUUUGAUUAGCAUUUUAGUUGUUUUGAAAAUCUGCGCUAGUAGAUCUUGCUCAGGUAACUAUGAUUGAACUCCAUUCAGGGUUCUUGGGAUGAUGGUGUGGUGGUGGUGAUGAAACAAAAGAGUAAUUUGUUUCAAAUGAAAGAUCUGAGGUUAGUAUGGCCCCCUUCGUUAAGGGAAUCGAGAUGUUGAAACAAAAGACAAAUUUAGUUAACAAGAGGCCAACAGAACUGCACAUAAGUGUUAGACAAAAAGCCUGAAAGAAAAGGGGUAAAAAUUCUUAUCUUAUUCUCCACUUCAGAAAUGGUAUGGCUGAUUUGUUGGUUGGAAUCAUUUGUAUAUUAUGCUUCACUACAAUAUUUGUGCACUAAAACAUCCUAAUUUUUUUAAUAUAAUGUCUAGGAUAAGUUGUAGACAUCAAUAAUGUUUCUUGUUUAAUUUUGUAUUGGUUUCAGGGUUUUGUAAUUCGGUUGAUUUUUGGUUUCAAUUUGGACCUAGAUAUUUGGUUUUAGAUCUUUGUGGCUACUUUCUGUUUAGAUAUCGUUGGAUGUCUGUUUUGGGGUAUGAAAUUAAAUUAUGCCUUCAGCUGUCUUAAUGA